UACGAAGGGGGCUAGCGUUGUUCGGAAUUACUGGGCGUAAAGCGCGUGUAGGCGGGUCUUUUAAGUCAGGGGUGAAAUGCCAGGGCUCAACCUUGGAACUGCCUUUGAUACUGGAGACCUUGAGUCCGGGAGAGGUGAGUGGAAUUGCGAGUGUAGAGGUGAAAUUCGUAGAUAUUCGCAAGAACACCAGUGGCGAAGGCGGCUCACUGGCCCGGAACUGGACGCUGAGACGCGAAAAGCGUGGGGAGCAAACAGGG
rnacentral:rRNA from 1 species